ACACAUGCAAGUCGAGCGGUAGAGAGAAGCUUGCUUCUCUUGAGAGCGGCGGACGGGUGAGUAAUGCCUAGGAAUCUGCCUAGUGGUGGGGGAUAACGUUCGGAAACGGACGCUAAUACCGCAUACGUCCUACGGGAGAAAGCGGGGGACCUUCGGGCCUCGCGCCAUUAGAUGAGCCUAGGUCGGAUUAGCUAGUUGGUGAGGUAAUGGCUCACCAAGGCUACGAUCCGUAACUGGUCUGAGAGGAUGAUCAGUCACACUGGAACUGAGACACGGUCCAGACUCCUACGGGAGGCAGCAGUGGGGAAUAUUGGACAAUGGGCGAAAGCCUGAUCCAGCCAUGCCGCGUGUGUGAAGAAGGUCUUCGGAUUGUAAAGCACUUUAAGUUGGGAGGAAGGGUAGUAACUUAAUACGUUGCUACUUUGACGUUACCGACAGAAUAAGCACCGGCUAACUUCGUGCCAGCAGCCGCGGUAAUACGAAGGGUGCAAGCGUUAAUCGGAAUUACUGGGCGUAAAGCGCGCGUAGGUGGUUCAGUAAGUUGAAUGUGAAAUCCCCGGGCUCAACCUGGGAACUGCAUCCAAAACUGCUGAGCUAGAGUACGGUAGAGGGUAGUGGAAUUUCCUGUGUAGCGGUGAAAUGCGUAGAUAUAGGAAGGAACACCAGUGGCGAAGGCGACUACCUGGACUGGUACUGACACUGAGGUGCGAAAGCGUGGGGAGCAAACAGGAUUAGAUACCCUGGUAGUCCACGCCGUAAAC
rnacentral:rRNA from 1 species